AGCCCCACACAGGGGGUGGGGGCCAGUUCUCCUGGGACCCCGUGAGGGCCCAGAGGAGAGCCCCAUCCCCUGAGCUGCCUAGAGCGGGCCCCCAGGCUGGAUGGCUCUGUCCUGCCACUUUUCCCCUCCUGGAGCUGUGGAGACCAAGGCUUGGCAGGCCUGAGUGCUGAGGAACCAGGCCACACGGGACCCGGGACCGGCAGGAGCUGGGAGCAUCCACCCGCCUUUGCCCUUUGUGGCUCGAGAUUGUACACACGCUGGGGGAUAAACUCUUGCUGCUCCCACCUGCCCCCACCUGCCUCCCCACAACACACCCCGGGCCCUGCCUUCCAGGCUGAGCACUGCCAGGGCCCUGAGUUUGGUGUGACUGGCUUGGUUUCUGGAAUACGCUGCAUCAUUCAGGACUCACAUUGCUGGGGUCUUAGGUCAUCGGCCCCCAGUCUCAGGGAUGAGCAGAAGUGUCCCCAGACUCUUCCUCCCUGUGAAAACCUCUAGAAGGUGUGGGAGGCUCUGAGACGCUGUGACUUCAGAAGGCAAAUGAGCCAGUACCCGGCGGGCGGGGCAGAGAUGCCGCCAAUUAGGGGGCUGGCGGCUGGGACCACUUCCCUGGACUGCAUGAGAAAUACCUGCGCCCAAGGCCCCACAGCACAAGCCCAAGAGAUGCCCGGGAGUCAGUGCUGCCUGGGGGCUGAGGGCUGGUGGGGACUGGGGCAGCUCAGUCCCAGUUCUCUUGUGAAGACCGUGUUGGAGGAGAGAACAUGGAAGCGAAGUGACUUCAGGAUUAGAAGAUCAGGACUGAGAACCAGCAUGGAUCCCGAGACCAUUCGAGGUGGUUCCAGUUGUAACUCGAAGGGGAACAAACAGGCUGGUGUUUUGCUCUGGGGCCAGCCCUGAGACAGACUGGGCAGCUGCGGAGAUUUCUAUAAACAGCAACCCCCAUGCCGUCCCGCCAGCGGCAUCUCUGUGGCCCCUGCGACAACCACCCGAAGCCAUGGCGCCCUGCUCUGCGGCCCCUGCCCACCGGCCCUGCCCUAAUCACGGGGAUGCCACAGCCACAUCCUUCCCGCCUGCCCACGCUCACGCCUGGUC